rnacentral:rRNA from 1 species
UACAGAGGGUGCGAGCGUUAAUCGGAAUUACUGGGCGUAAAGCGCGCGUAGGCGGCUUUUCAAGUCGAUUGUGAAAUCCCCGGGCUUAACCUGGGAACUGCAGUCGAGACUGUCUAGCUAGAGUAUGGGAGAGGGAAGUGGAAUUUCAGGUGUAGCGGUGAAAUGCGUAGAUAUCUGAAGGAACAUCAGUGGCGAAAGCGACUUCCUGGACCAAUACUGACGCUGAGGCGCGAAAGCUAGGGGAGCAAACGGGG